rnacentral:tRNA from 1 species
AUCGACUUAGUAUAAAAAUUUAAGUAUGGUAAAUUGUAAAUUUAUAGGUAGAUCUUUCUAGUCGAAA